rnacentral:rRNA from 1 species
CCCUAGAUGUUCUGGGCCGCACGCGCGCUACACUGAUGAAUGCAACGAGCUCUACCCUUGACCGAAAGGCCCGGGUAAACUUGUGAAACUUCAUCGUGAUGGGGAUAGAUUAUUGCAAUUAUUAAUCUUCAACGAGGAAUUCCUAGUAAGCGCGAGUCAUCAGCUCGCGUUGAUUACGUCCCUGCCCUUUGUACACACCGCCCGUCGCUCCUACCGAUUGAAUGGUCCGGUGAAAUCUUCGGAUUGCUGACCAAGAUCCAGCAAUGGAGCUUGGUUGCGAGAAGUUGAUUAAACCUUAUUAUUUAGAGGAAGGAGCAGUCGUAACA